AAUCUAGAUCCUGUUUUAUCUGCUUCAAACUUGGUUAAGAAAAAUUGCUACUCAAUUCAGGCUAUUUGGCAGAAUGAGUAAGAGCACACUCCACAGUGGACCAUACCACUUAGUAUGGUUCAUUACUAUAUUGUGGCCUACAUU
ensembl:snoRNA LOC120095411 small nucleolar RNA SNORA4